ACCGCAGCCGUCCGAUCCCAGGUCCGGGGCAGCCUCGGAAGCCAUGGUUCUCGGCGAGGGGAGGCCAGCCCAGGCUUGGGCCAGGGCCGGUGGCCAUGGUUAGCGGGAAUAUCGGCUCAAUGUUGUGGCGGCCAAUGGGCGGGAUGCACGCGUGGCCGGGAAGGGAAGAGGGCGUGGUGACAGGUGUUAUGCCAUGCACUCCUAGGCCUCCAUGGCUGCUCUGGUCGGACACGGUUUUGGGGGCAUUCCCGUGCGUGGUAAGUAACAGGGGCGAGAGUAAUGGUAGGAUCAACGAGGCCUAGGCGAAGCAGGAGAUGCUGGCUUACAUCGAGCUGUUCUUGAAUGGCGGCCAUUCUGGUCUGAGGAAAUCCUCCCAUUUGCAGCAGCGUUCGGUAUGAUCCCUGUUGGAGAUCUGCGUCUUUACCAGUGGAUUCAUAGAACGCUACUCUUUGAAGGUAUGGCAUGGAGUCCCUCUUUUGCAUUAGAGCGAAUGUUGUGAAGGGGAGCUGACACCUCUCUGUGGGAUUUGCAGGUGAGAGAAGAUGUACCUCGGUGAUUUUCACUUGAAAGUCGUCCAUUUUCAUCUUCACCCCGUCGAAGAUCCAAGCCCGAACUCGCAGUGACAAGCAAAGCAGCACAGGGACUCCUAGAGGCUCGGGGAUAUUAUAUUCUAAAAAGCACGCACGGAUUGAUUGGAGUCAAGUCAUGUCACACAAGCAGACGAGACGAUGGACUCUGGAUAUUAACACGUAAGGUGGUACACAGGAUUAAUUCGUUUUGACUUUCUCACUGAACUUUGCCAUUGUUUCAGGAGGAAGGAACACUGUGACUUCAAUGGCUUUCCCACCUCUCGGUGACGGGUCGUAGAAGCAGAAGCCGUUCCACAACUUCGUAGCGUGUCGAACAGCGUGUCGAACAGGCUGGUUUCCCCCAUCCAAAGUCCAGACUAUACAUUGGAAAUCUUGGAGAGCUACCAAAGAUUGGUAAACACAACAUUGGAGUUAUUUUGUUGUUCUUGAGUGUGCUUUGCAAAAGUCUAAUAUUUUCCUUUCAGAUCAUUACAUAGUUGUGAAAUUUAUAUAUAUCCAACUGUAGUCUGCAUUUCUAUUCUGCAUAAAUUUCUAUACAAACUCAAUUAAAAUAUAUAUAUUAUCAAACCUAUAAUUGAAGUGACUGAAAAUGCCUCGCCUCCGCCAUCUUUUGAGAACCAUACGACAUAGUAAACAACCUAAUGGAGAUUUAGAUGCCUUUGAAACUAUGAUUGAUCAUGAUACACAUACUAUAGCUGUUCAAAAUAAUCAUGAUAAUGAUUCUAUACACCUAAAUAUUAAUCAUGAUAAUGACUAUAUACAGCAAUCAGUUGGACACUCAGAAGCAUCUGGAACCUUACAUGCAUGUCAUUAUGACAAUUACAUAUAUCAAGCAAUAUUAAAUCCACCACCC
rnacentral:lncRNA from 1 species